ACCUAGGUGGCAAGCGUUAUCCGGUAUUAUUGGGCGUAAAGCGCGCGUAGCGCGGUUUUUUAAGUCUGAUGUGAAAGCCCACGGCUCAACCGAGGAGGGUCAUUGGAAACUGGAAAACUUGAGUGCAGAAGAGGAAGGUGGAAUUCCAUGUGUAGCGGUGAAAUGCGCAGAGAUAGUGAGGAACACCAGUGGCGAAGGCGUCUUUCUGGUCUGUAACUGACGCUGAUGUGCGAAAGCGUGGGGAUCAAACAGGAUUAGAUACCCUGGUAGUCCACGCCGUAAACGAUGAGUGCUAAGUGUUAGGGGGUUUCCGCCCCUUAGUGCUGCAGCUAACGCAUUAAGCACUCCGCCUGGGGAGUACGACCGCAAGGUUGAAACUCAAAGGAAUUGACGGGGA
rnacentral:rRNA from 1 species